GGUUUCGUGGUGUAGUGGUUAUCACGUCUGCUUCACACGCAGGAGGCCACCGAUUCGAUCCCGGCCGAAAUCA